CGUAGCCGCGGGAAUACAGAGGGUGCGAGCGUUAAUCGGAUUUACUGGGCGUAAAGCGUGCGUAGGCGGCUUCUUAAGUCGGAUGUGAAAUCCCUGAGCUUAACUUAGUAAUUGCAUUCGAUACUGGGAAGCUAGAGUAUGGGAGAGGAUGGUAGAAUUCCAGGUGUAGCGGUGAAAUGCGUAGAGAUCUGGAGGAAUACCGAUGGCGAAGGCAGCCAUCUGGCCUAAUACUGACGCUGAGGUACGAAAGCAUGGGGAGCAAACAGGAUUAGAUACCCGGGUAGUCCCUGUCUCUUAUACA
rnacentral:rRNA from 1 species